rnacentral:rRNA from 1 species
CAGUAGCCGCGGGAAUACGUAGGUCCCGAGCGUUGUCCGGAAUUAUUGGGCGUAAAGCGCGCGCAGGCGGAUCAGUCAGUCUGUCUUAAAAGUUCGGGGCUUAACCCCGUGAUGGGAUGGAAACUGCUGAUCUAGAGUAUCGGAGGGGAAAGUGGAAUUCCUAGUGUAGCGGUGAAAUGCGUAGAUAUUAGGAAGAACACCAGUGGCGAAGGCGACUUUCUGGACGAAAACUGACGCUGAGGUGCGAAAGCCAGGGGAGCGAACGGGAUUAGAUACCCCCGUAGUCCCUGUCUCUUAUACA